rnacentral:rRNA from 1 species
UACGUAGGGUGCGAGCGUUGUCCGGAAUUAUUGGGCGUAAAGAGCUUGUAGGCGGUCUGUCGCGUCUGCUGUGAAAAUCCGGGGCUCAACCCCGGACUUGCAGUGGGUACGGGCAGACUAGAGUGUGGUAGGGGAGACUGGAAUUCCUGGUGUAGCGGUGAAAUGCGCAGAUAUCUGGAGGAACACCUGCGGCGAAGGCGGGUUGCUGGGCUGAUACUGACGCUGAGGCGCGAAAGCCAGGGGAGCGAACGGG